AGGAGCCUGGAUAAGUAGGAAGGAAAAAGAAAGAAAGCAAAUGCGUAAAACCAAAGACAGUUAGCCUUUGUUUUCUAGACUCAGGCUGGAAAAUCCCCACGAAUGCAGACAAUUACUUUGCAUUCAAUAAAUGUAGCAUAUUUCCAGGGAGUAUUCUUACAUAUUACGGCAAAGUAGGGUCUCUUCUGAGUUAUCAUUUUUUUCCAUUCCAGUCCGAUAGCAGAUCCUCAGUAAAUAGCGGCAGGGUGGAGUUGCUGUCUAAUGGAGCAAAUGUUUUUAUUUCUAAUAGCACAGCUACUCCCUCUUUGUUUACUUAUCUAUUCCUUCUCGUUUCCUGGGAGAAUUCUUGUCUUUGAGGGAAUCUCACCAUCUCUGCUGGAUUUUUCAGAAAUUCUGUGUAUCUUUAGAAACAGUCUGAAUUGGGACCCAAUGGAAGGACACUACAGCAUUCUGUGCCUCCAUAUUGUCAAGUUGUUUUUGUCCCUCUUGCUAUUUCUGAAGUAGUUUAACAUAUUUUGUUGACAAGGAUGGAAAUUCUCAAACAGGUGUUUGGGGACCACUAAACACAUGGUUUUUCUAUCAGAAUAUUUUAGUUCUGCCAUGGUGGGUUAUGUUGAAACCUGAUGUGCAACCUUAUCGUGUUCUGCAGAGCCUCAAGUACUCUGGGCUUGCCCUCUGUUUUGUGCUGAUAACACCUGCUGAACCGGGCACUGGACCAACAGGAAAGGGUGUUAUGUGUCAGGGUUUUAGAGACUAAAUAGAGCUGUACAGGAGACUGGACUGCAGCUCAGGAUUCAAACUUCUCCUUAUGGCUUUGCAGGGAAAGGCCUUGAAGGUUUGCUACUGACAGGGACCAACGGUAUGAAUAGUAGAGCAGUGUGGAGUAAGGGUUCAUGUAUCCUGCUUGUAUGCUAUGCCUGCUUCAAGCCUGUGUUAUCAAUUUCACACCAAAAAGCAAGUACACAGCUUAGGAUGCUUCUGAAGAAUUCUUCCCAUCUGACAGAAUUUUGUCCCUUGAUUUGCAGUUUGCUUUUUUCCUCCUAUAACCUGAGUAGGUUGCAUAUUUGCUUUUGUAUUAUUUAAAAAAAAAACCAACACUGUAAUAGUAGGAGAUUCAUUAAUGAAAUACAGGUUUGCAA